GUUUGAUGUUCUAACGUGGACCCGUGAUCCGGGUUGCGGACAGUGUCUGGUGGGUAGUUUGACUGGGGCGGUCUCCUCCUAAAGAGUAACGGAGGAGCACGAAGGUUGGCUAAUCCUGGUCGGACAUCAGGAGGUUAGUGCAAUGGCAUAAGCCAGCUUGACUGCGAGCGUGACGGCGCGAGCAGGUGCGAAAGCAGGUCAUAGUGAUCCGGUGGUUCUGAAUGGAAGGGCCAUCGCUCAACGGAUAAAAGGUACUCCGGGGAUAACAGGCUGAUACCGCCCAAGAGUUCAUAUCGACGGCGGUGUUUGGCACCUCGAUGUCGGCUCAUCACAUCCUGGGGCUGAAGUAGGUCCCAAGGGUAUGGCUGUUCGCCAUUUAAAGUGGUACGCGAGCUGGGUUUAGAACGUCGUGAGACAGUUCGGUCCCUAUCUGCCGUGGGCGCUGGAGAACUGAGGGGGGCUGCUCCUAGUACGAGAGGACCGGAGUGGACGCAUCACUGGUGUUCGGGUUGUCAUGCCAAUGGCACUGCCCGGUAGCUAAAUGCGGAAGAGAUAAGUGCUGAAAGCAUCUAAGCACGAAACUUGCCCCGA
rnacentral:rRNA from 9 species